rnacentral:misc_RNA from 1 species
GAAAAAAAAAAAAUAAAACUUAACAAGACAAGAGCAAUCAUGACGUCAUCGACCCAAAGGUUGCAUUAACGGUGCAACUUCGCAAACUACUUGGAAAGGUUCAGAAAGAGAUUAUUUGAAUCAGUGGACACUGUGAAAUGCUUUAGGUAGCCUGCGAACCCCAUUUUGAAAGAUCGGCUAGGGGUGAUCUACAGCAUUCAAGG